GAUGGAGUGCGAUAGGCGAUCCUAUACUAACUCCUAAGCUUUCGGUUCGUGCUCGCGCGCCAGUAACUCUCUCGUCGGCGGUAGGUUUUGCCAUUGGGUUUCUUCCCACGGAAGGUUUCUAAUGAAAGGCGAUGGGUUUGUCGUUCCGGAGGUUCACUCCCUCCGCCGCAUCGGCGUCGAGUCGAGCCCUGGCCUGUGAGCAGCACGCCAUUGAUGAAUACUAUGAUGAAAAAAGGGACAUCAAAGAGUGGUAAAGAGGGGCUAGAGAUCCACAAAUUGGGGUUCGCAGAAUAUUGUGUCUCAACUUUCUAAAAGGGGAUGCAGGCAGGUAUCAGGUGCUAUUGUUUGAACUGUCAAUUCAUUCUAAUGUUUAGGGUUUAACUCAAUUUUGCCUUUUGGAACAUAAUUAUCUAGGAAAUUGUAAUAUGUCAUCAUAACCUAUUUGGCUGAUCAGGUUUUGUGAGAAGUCCUCGCGUUGCUGAGUUGUCUCGAAGUAACUCAAGUCUGGCGGAUGAAGUCUUAAUUAGCUAAGAGCAGAAAAAAAGGUUUUUGGACUUCAAUUAUCAAGUAGACGUCAAGUAUUCUUAGGUUUAUAAAGACUAAUUUAUGACCCUUACUUUUUUGUCCUAUAUUAGACACUUUUGGAUAUAGACAUAUUCUCAAAGCUAUUUUCUUUAAGAAUGUGAAGAUUAAGUACAUUAUACAAUUAGGAAAAUAAGAUUUUUAUUUUGCAUCAUGUAUGGGCGCAUACCUUUUUGCCAUCCCUCAAGCUUUAAAUUUGUCACUAGAACAUUUAGAGAUUUUUCAAUUGUAAACGACCAUUUGCUUCUACCAAUAAUUUUUCUCAAAGGAAGAUGACUAGUUUCCAUGUAUAAUUGGUGUGCAAUGUUGUCAUUUCUUCUAUCAGGUGAUAUAAGUAUCAUUCAUGUAGCAGUAGGGAUGUCAAGGUUAGAUGUAGGAUCCAAGAUCUUGGAGGGUUCUAGUAGGGUGGGACAACAGAGUCCUGAUGAGUGAUUGUAAUUGGCUCAUAUUGUAGAUUUCUACUAAGGUUUGCAUUGACUAACUUUCUGGUGUCAUUCGUUUUUUCCACUAGUCAUUGUCAAAUAACUAAUUUAUCUUGGCAGCUCUACUUUGUUUUUAUGUAAACUUUGUGUUAAUGAAGUUGUAUUCAUUACCAAUAAAUGUUGCGCGUUAUUUAGUCUACAUUUGCUUCUAAAUCCUAGAUCUUAAUGUUUCAUUUCAGUUAUUGCUUCUCUUAAUAUUUUUGAAUGCUUUAUUAUUUCAGAUAUCUCGAAGUUGUUGGUCAAAUAGUUACACGUGUUCCUGCACAACUAUGGUUAAUAUUUUCCAUCAGAUAUUCGUGUAGGACUAGGAUUAGUUGAUGCAAGAUGCAUUACUGAGUUUUUUUAGUUCUUAAAGAAUUGAUUGUAAUUUUUCAUCACGGAUAGGUUUUUGUUGUUUUCUUAUCCAGCUCUUGUUUUGGUUGUGUGCAUAUCUAGUUUCCUUGGUGAUCUCGUACACAUGCAACAAUGCUUGGGUCCAAAAGUUAAGCUUUCCUGUCUCAUCUGCUACAUUGGUGAAUUGCUUAUGUUAGUUGUGUUUUGCAGUUUUACCACUGGAGCUUGAUUAUAGACUCAAAAACCAUUUGCUCUUCUCAAGAAAUUUAAAUAGAGUAUGGUACUCUUAAACUGCAUAUGCGCCACCAUGAAGUUGAGCUGUAUGUUCCCUCCUCCAAUUCUCUUGAUGUUAACCGAGUUACUAUAUUGCAGUAUUGUUUUAUCAUUACAUGGUGUACUCUUGUAUUAGUUUCCAUUUCAAGCCCAAAACAUGUCUGGUUGUUGAGAACAAUGUCAGUUGAUGAAAGUGGCAAAGUUGUAAACUUUGACUACAAUAAACGGUAUGUUGGAUCAUGUUCUGUAGGAGCUGCCGCUAUUAUUUUAUUCUACAAGUAAGCAAUUUUGUUGUUGAUUCACCAACAAUCAAGUUGCGCAUUUUGCUGGUCUGGGAUACAAUGCUGCUACCUGUAUUCUUUAUUAACGAUGGAAUUCAAAAUUGCAGCUUCCAAUAUAUACCAUUAAAGUAGCAUGUGGGGGUAACCACCAUCUGUUACCAAGCUAUUGCUACAGUUCAUUUGUGGUUUUACCACUGGAGCUUGAUUAUAGACUCAAAAACCAUUUGCUCUUCUCAAGAAAUUUAAAUAGAGUAUGGUACUCUUAAACUGCAUAUGCGCCACCAUGAAGUUGAGCUGUAUGUUCCCUCCUCCAAUUCUCUUGAUGUUAACCGAGUUACUAUAUUGCAGUAUUGUUUUAUCAUUACAUGGUGUACUCUUGUAUUAGUUUCCAUUUCAAGCCCAAAACAUGUCUGGUUGUUGAGAACAAUGUCAGUUGAUGAAAGUGGCAAAGUUGUAAACUUUGACUACAAUAAACGGUAUGUUGGAUCAUGUUCUGUAGGAGCUGCCGCUAUUAUUUUAUUCUACAAGUAAGCAAUUUUGUUGUUGAUUCACCAACAAUCAAGUUGCGCAUUUUGCUGGUCUGGGAUACAAUGCUGCUACCUGUAUUCUUUAUUAACGAUGGAAUUCAAAAUUGCAGCUUCCAAUAUAUACCAUUAAAGUAGCAUGUGGGGGUAACCACCAUCUGUUACCAAGCUAUUGCUACAGAUCAUUUGUGGGGACGGAAAUGCAUUUGUACAAGCUCAGCUCAACAGGGAAUCUACCAACCAAGAUCCAAGCAACUUCUCUCAGGCACUUGGUCCAUAAGCCACUCAUGACCAGCUCUGCAUGACAUCUUGCUCCACUCUGCUCCGGAAGCCACAACACUCGGAAUGAUUUCCAAUUUGUCUGUGCGAGAGAGGCACAAUCUCAAGUCCCGGAGCAGCUCAAGAUCUGCCUCGGUCUGACUUUUGAGACCCAACAGAUGAUUUUAUAUUCUCUUUUUUGAAUCAUUAAACGCAAUGAAUUUUCAUGUGCAGUAGUGGCAAUUAUUUUUUUCUGUAAGCGACUUCAAUUUGAAAUGCAAGUUACACCUUUUCAAAA